CCGGCGCACGGGUGAGUAACACGUAUCCAACCUGCCCUUUACUCGGGGAUAGCCUUUCGAAAGAAAGAUUAAUACCCGAUAGCAUAAUGAUUCCGCAUGGUUUCAUUAUUAAAGGAUUCCGGUAAAGGAUGGGGAUGCGUUCCAUUAGGUUGUUGGUGAGGUAACGGCCCACCAAGCCUUCGAUGGAUAGGGGUUCUGAGAGGAAGGUCCCCCACAUUGGAACUGAGACACGGUCCAAACUCCUACGGGAGGCAGCAGUGAGGAAUAUUGGUCAAUGGGCGCUAGCCUGAACCAGCCAAGUAGCGUGAAGGAUGAAGGCUCUAUGGGUCGUAAACUUCUUUUAUAUAAGAAUAAAGUGCAGUAUGUAUACUGUUUUGUAUGUAUUAUAUGAAUAAGGAUCGGCUAACUCCGUGCCAGCAGCCGCGGUAAUACGGAGGAUCCGAGCGUUAUCCGGAUUUAUUGGGUUUAAAGGGAGCGUAGGUGGACUGGUAAGUCAGUUGUGAAAGUUUGCGGCUCAACCGUAAAAUUGCAGUUGAUACUGUCAGUCUUGAGUACAGUAGAGGUGGGCGGAAUUCGUGGUGUAGCGGUGAAAUGCUUAGAUAUCACGAAGAACUCCGAUUGCGAAGGCAGCUCACUGGACUGCAACUGACACUGAUGCUCGAAAGUGUGGGUAUCAAACAGGAUUAGAUACCCUGGUAGUCCACACAGUAAACGAUGAAUACUCGCUGUUUGCGAUAUACAGUAAGCGGCCCAGCGAAAGCAUUAAGUAUUCCACCUGGGGAGUAC
rnacentral:rRNA from 1 species